UAAAAUUUGGGGAAGCAUAUGAGCAAGCAGAGACUUCAAAGUUGCAGCAAGUGGCGGAUAUGGAGAGGCAGAGAAUGAAGUUUGCCAAGGAGCUGGAGUUGCAGAGAAUGCAGUUUUUCAUGAAGACUCAAUUGGAGAUAUCUCAGCUGAACCAUGGGAGAAGGGUUGGGAAUAACAGUAUUCACCGAAACAACAACAAUAACAAUAACAACAAUAGUGAUAGCAGCAACUAGAUUAGCUUAGAAAUUAGGCUUACCCUGAUGAAAAUUUGUGUUGCAAUUGUUAAUUUGAAAUGUACCGCUUUCUCAAUCUCAAUCCUUAUUUAUCACAACCUGUAACUUUCCCUCAAAAUGCUCAAAUACAUUGGGGUAGUGUUGAUUAAUCUAAGUGUUGCUCUUGUACUGUUGUACAUACAUUGUAAGAGUUUUGUUGUGUUAAAAUUUAGAUUGACAUUGUGUAUCUUUGAUGAUGUAAAUUUUGCAGCUGCUUCUCAUGCCCAAUUUCUUCCAUCGUUGUUGUUCGGGUCUGCGCAAUGGUCAUAUGGGUUGAUCAUCUGCAGGUGAUGCAAAACAGGUUGUUUAGUUUAAGAAGAAUAGACAUGAAGAAGAAACUGAUCAUGUUUCCAAAGCAAUACACAAUAUGCAAUGAGGGCAGUGCAGAGUUGCUUUUCUAGUAAAAUCAUGCUUGGAUUCAUGGGAAGAUGCUUUAAAACAUUUUAAGGAUUGUUUGGUAGCAGACAACCAAAAAGGACAUCUUCAGAAACAGCGAAACUUGCAAUGAGAAACAGAAACAUAUAUGAUAUGAAAUUCCAUCUAGGGCAGAGGUUAAUAUCAACAAUGUGAAUACCAGUUUUGUGCUUUUCCGGAACUUUUUUGUUGGGCACUGUUCUCCCCCUGCAAAGAAAUACACAGAACAAAAAAAAGAAGAAUUCAACAUGAAUUUGUGAGAAGCAUGAUGCAUAAUUCCAGGAUAUUCUAUGCUAGGUAAUGCUCCCUGGGCACUUAAGGUGCUAGCAAUUCUCUUGUGAUGGAACCAUGAAACACUGAAAUCAUGGAGACAAAUUCCACUUAUCAAAAAGUGAAAAGAAAAGGAAAAAGCUUAGACGCAAUUUAUCUAAGACUAGUUUACAAUCUAUGAAAAGGGAAAAGGAAAAGCAGCAUCAUUUGAUAAUUAUUCUUCUACCCGGUUUUAGAAAUCUAAAAAGAAAGCAGCAAUCGAUUAAUCUUGUCACACAAUCUAUAUUAGUUCCUCCUUACAUUAUAUAUGAGGCAUAAAGGUCUUUAGUUUGUGAACUACAUGUAAAUGGAAGCAAGAACCUGGAAUGAGUUUUGAUGUCUUGGGAGUCCUUCAUCCAUCAUUUUUCCUAAUUACUUGAUUGGGAAUCUCAAUGUGGUUUGAAAUCUAUGAUUUAAGUGUGGCAGCAUUCUACGGUCAGGUUGAAUUGCUAAAGUGCAAAUAUUCUCUUAUUAGCUUCACUGUUCAUCUUUGAAGUAAGAGAAUAUGCUAGUUCAGUACGAAUUCCGACAGGAUUUUAUCUAUUCACAUCACUCUGGUUGUCUGUCUAUUUGGACUUCCAAACAUUAAUCUGCUCUUUAGGUUAAUUUGACAAAACUAACUUAAACUUUGUAGGGGCCUUCUGAUCAAGUUUAUCAUUUCUAAAGAAGAAAGGGUCCAAUAUGCAGAUAUUGCGAAAAUAUGAGCAGUCUCCCCAUAUUAACUUUUCACAAUCAGAUUGACUCUAGAAUAUCAGCAACAACAGCAAGCAAGUGGAUGGUGGAGGAAAAUACUGUAUACAUCAAAGACCAACGAAGGAAUCUUUCAUUACAAGGCUCACUAAGAUCCUGCACAGAAGACUACCUUAUAGGCUGUCCAUCUCACAGUGCAUGGGUCAUUUUAGUUUUUUUGGAUUGACCCGAUAGCUGUUGAGAAAUUCAAUCUUGUGAGUGUGUCCUUUCAGCCUAGAAAGCUAAUACUAGACCCAGUUAGAAUUUUCAAAUCAACAGGUAUUUGAAUAAUUGGGACAGCAAGGGAGGAACUAAAGAAAUAUUUCUAUGAUCCUCUUCUAAGACCCUGCUGACACACCUGGGGACAUUACCUUUCCAGUACUGAUAAUCAUACCAUGAGUUAAGUUGCCAAGCAUCUACCCUGCAACUUUCCUCCCAGUAAACAUGGUUUAUUUUCACAUCCCAGAAUCCAGAUCUCCAAGGUAAGAACUAGAACAAUCCCAGAAUUAUGACCAGAAAAACUCUGUUUCUUGUUUGAAUGCCUUGAAAAUCAAAACCUAAAGGAUGUUUUAACGGACUUAACCUUGUCCAUAAGGUUCACAACAGCGGGGACUGUGUAUUCUGAGAUGCACUUUCCCAAAGGAUCCCUCCUCUCUGCUCCAUGUCAGUGUGUUGACAAAAGGACCAUUAAUUCAAUGCAACACAACUAAAGGAAUGAAAUGACCCUAACCUCUCAAUAAUAAGCCGGAUUGGUAAUUUUAACUUUUAAGAUCCUCUAAGGACUGUUUGGUAACUAUUUUUAAAAACAGUUUUCUAACUUAGGAAACAUGUUUAGGAAACCUUUGACAAUAAAACAAAUUUAAGUUGUUUCAAGUUGUUCCUCAUAAAGUGUCGUGACAAUUAAAAAGAUGGAGUAAGCCGAAAAAACUAUUUUCCUUUUUUGAGUUGUCAAACAAAAUGUUAUUCCUGCAAACAAUUGAGAACUGAUGUCAAAAACUGUUUUUCGAAAACUGUUUUUAAAAAGCAUUGCCAAACAUAUGCUUUGUUUCUUCCUACCUAAGGAGAAGGCUAACAGGGGAGAAGGCUAACAGCCAAUGCUUUGAACUCCUUGACAGAACACUACAACAAAUAUUAAAUAAAAAAAAUAAAAAAAUCUAUCCCUAUCAUAUUUACCCUAUAAAAUAGCAUUUCCAGGUAGAAACUUCUAAUUCUUUAUUUAAAAAUAAAAACAUAAGUCAGUCCAAAAUUGCUUGUUUGAAAAACAUCACAUGAAUUGUUUUCAUUUAAUGCAAAGGAUUCCAAAAGUUUCCAUCAUGGGAAGAGGUGAGAUUAUAUUUUCAAGUUUCAUAUUCUAAAGAUAAGGGCAUACAGAAAGCAAGUUUUCAUAUUUUAAAGAUAAGGGACCUGCAGUGCACGGGGAGGCUUAAACGAGAAGAUGCCAUCAGAGUCGGGCACCAAAUUAUAAUCAACAAUAUCACAUGAUAUGAUCAGUCAUGUAAUGAGAGAUGUAACUCUGAAUCAACUAAAGCAUUAUGAUAUGCACCAAAUUGUGAAAUACUAGAACAAUAAAUUGAGGAAACAACAUUAUCCCAAAAGCAAUGCUAUACAAAUGUUCGGUUACUGCCCUAUAAUUCCAACUUGGCAUGCCUAAUAAAAAAGUUAGGCAUUAAUUCAAAGAAGACACGGAUUCUACCUAUCACAGCCACCGACAUUAUUUUCAGCAUAGUUUAGUUCAACCCACCCUCCCCUUCAAUCAACAACACGAGCUCUAAUCUUGUGAAGUAAACCACUGAUAAACAAUGCAUACCCUUUUAAGAAUCAAGAAGAAACAGAGAUAUACGAUAAAAAAGAGGGAAAUUUACACAAGUUUCAGUGGCCAAAUUGAAAGUGCUUUUGAAUUUGACAACAGUGACUUCAUCACUUAAUGGAAUUGUGAGCUUGUCUUUUUUUGCUAGCACCCGGAUCUUUUAAUUGAUGAGAUGUCCUAAAGCCAGGCUUUAGCCAAUGUUUAAGGUAUAAAGCCUAUGACAAGAUAGUUUGUCCUCUCUGUGGAAUUUGAUGAUGCAAACCUUUAUAAAAUUUGCUGCUUGCUUUACAUAAGGAGCAAAUCCAUAACAACUGAGAUAAAAUAUUAUUGCUUGAUGGUGCAAUGGUCAAAUGUCUUCUAAAUAAUUACCUAGAUGGAAGAUUGGGAAUUCUUUAUUCUUACUUUUAGCAGGAACAAUUGUUUAAUAUUUCGAGAAGGUAAGAAUUCAAAUACUAACAUACAAGCAUCAGAUUUUCUUGCUUCCAAAGGUAUCAUAGGAUGCGAGAUUUUCGGAUAAGCAAUCAACAACAAGCCCAUUACCAAAAAUCUUGAAGAUAGAAAGGGGAAUUGGGGUGUCGGUGGAAUUAGAACACUGGACAAAGCACCAAAGUGGGAUCAUAGAGAAAAGGUUGAUACUUGAUAGUAACAUCCCUACAGGUCCAAGGUUGAAUGAUGUUCAGUUUCCCAUAACAAGCAAAAAUCAUGAUUACUUCAGAGAAAAUCAUGGAAACCCUUUUGCUCAUAAAUCCAAAAAUUCAAUUCCCAUAACAUCCAAACAAUUUGAUUUCAACCCAGUUCACUCUUUCCCAUGUCAAUCAAAAUACAGAACCCUAUAAAAUAAAAAUAAUUAAAAAAAAAAAAAAAAACACAAGAGAACCCAGUCAACGAAUCAAUCCAAAAACACCAACCAGUGAUAGUGCAAAAUCAAAGAAAGAAAUCAUCACACUUCAUAAUAAACAAAUGGAAAUAACUGCAUGAAAUUUUGCUCUGUAAAAUUCCCAAAAAAAAAAAGCCCAGAAAAGCAAACGUUAGAAAUUUAAACGAAGAAGCACUUACCUGAGCUAGAACCAGGCUUGUUCUUGAGUUGGUGAUCUCCGGGAGAAAUCGGGAAAUAGUAAAGAAAUGAAUAGGCUUGAAGCAGAUGGAUAAGAGAAACAGUGGUGCCCUUCUCGGCGACCACUGUCCGCCGGAGCCGGAGGAAGUAGCUCAGUGCAGAAAGGUGUCCGAUCCUGGCGAAUUGGCCUCCUCCUUCAGUGUUUUUCUUUACUUUUUUGUUUCAUUUUUAGUUCUAGCUUUUUUUUUUUUUUUUUGAAUAUUAGAAUAUCAAGUGUUUAUAGAUAAGUAAUA
rnacentral:lncRNA from 1 species